GGGCGUGUGGUCUAGGGGUAUGGCGUUCGGUAAGCUUAAUCGACCCGAAACACAAUUUGAGCAUAAACUAACAGGCUUAGCUUCGCAUCUACAUGAUAGCGACCUUGCGAAAGGUCCGGGGUUCAAUUCCCCGUUCGUCCA
rnacentral:tRNA from 1 species